UGGCUCAGGACGAACGCUGGCGGCGUGCCUAAUACAUGCAAGUCGUACGCUUCUUUUUCCACCGGAGCUUGCUCCACCGGAAAAAGAGGAGUGGCGAACGGGUGAGUAACACGUGGGUAACCUGCCCAUCAGAAGGGGAUAACACUUGGAAACAGGUGCUAAUACCGUAUAACAAUCGAAACCGCAUGGUUUUGAUUUGAAAGGCGCUUUCGGGUGUCGCUGAUGGAUGGACCCGCGGUGCAUUAGCUAGUUGGUGAGGUAACGGCUCACCAAGGCCACGAUGCAUAGCCGACCUGAGAGGGUGAUCGGCCACAUUGGGACUGAGACACGGCCCAAACUCCUACGGGAGGCAGCAGUAGGGAAUCUUCGGCAAUGGACGAAAGUCUGACCGAGCAACGCCGCGUGAGUGAAGAAGGUUUUCGGAUCGUAAAACUCUGUUGUUAGAGAAGAAUAAGGAUGAGAGUAACUGUUCAUCCCUUGACGGUAUCUAACCAGAAAGCCACGGCUAACUACUGG
rnacentral:rRNA from 1 species